rnacentral:rRNA from 1 species
CGGACCAGACCCAAGUUCACUGGAAAGUGGCGUCAGAGAGGGUGAAAACCCCGUCGAGUCUGGACACUGUUGCAAAACGAGGCACUGUCUGCGAGUCGAGCUGUUUGGGAAUGCAGCUCUAAGUGGGUGGUAAAUUCCAUCCAAGGCUAAAUAUUGGCAAGAGACCGAUAGCGAACAAGUACCGCGAGGGAAAGAUGAAAAGGACUUUGAAAAGAGAGUUAAAAAGUGCUUGAAAUUGCUGGGAGGGAAGCGAAUGGAAGCUGCGGGUGUGCCCUGGUUGGAUGUGGAACGGUUUAGGCUGGUCCGCCGCUCAACGCGGGGCACUGGUCAGCGUGGGCCAUCGCGGCGGGACAAGAGCAGGAUGUAGUUUCUUGCCUAUGCCGUUGUGGUGGCCGAGGAACGAAGCAUGCGCCACUUGUGGCGUGGUAUUUAUACCAACUGCAUGCUCGGGACGCUGGCGUAUUGAGCUCUUCAUCCGACCCGU